AAUCUCACGCUUCCACCAUUAAACUUCCAACGCCUCCACCAACUUUCUCAGCUCAAUGUGCAAAUUCUCAGGAAAUCCAAUGAGACCACCAAGUCUCUGAUAUGUGCUCUCAAUAACAUCUCUUCGUGACCUUGCUUUGCCUCCUUACCCUUUGCUGCAGUUUCUUCAAUCUACCAUGACACCUCUACAUCUCAAUCUAAAUCCGAUGUCUCUGCGCUUCAUACUUUGCCGUCUGUAAGCUCAUCCAAUUUCCCUCUUUGAGCCUCACCCUAGAUUUUGUUUUGUACUUCAUUUGUGAGGUUUCAAUCGAUUUAGUGGUUUUGUAAUUUGCUUUUGUUUUGUGUUCAC